rnacentral:rRNA from 1 species
GAUGAACGCUGGCGGCGUGCUUAACACAUGCAAGUCGAACGAAGCACUUAUCUUUGAUUCUUCGGAUGAAGAGGUUUGUGACUGAGUGGCGGACGGGUGAGUAACGCGUGGGUAACCUGCCUCAUACAGGGGGAUAACAGUUAGAAAUGACUGCUAAUACCGCAUAAGACCACGGAGCCGCAUGGCUCAGUGGGAAAAACUCCGGUGGUAUGAGAUGGACCCGCGUCUGAUUAGGUAGUUGGUGGGGUAACGGCCUACCAAGCCAACGAUCAGUAGCCGACCUGAGAGGGUGACCGGCCACAUUGGGACUGAGACACGGCCCAAACUCCUACGGGAGGCAGCAGUGGGGAAUAUUGCACAAUGGGGGAAACCCUGAUGCAGCGACGCCGCGUGAGCGAAGAAGUAUUUCGGUAUGUAAAGCUCUAUCAGCAGGGAAGAAAAUGACGGUACCUGACUAAGAAGCACCGGC